UGAGGCUUGAUGUCAAAGUGGAGGAUGCGCUGGUUGCACCCUUGAUGCAAGUACUCCAUUCCUCUGGCAAUGCCUAAAGCAAUAUCUAGCAGCUUGUCGGGUACCAGAAGAUGCUGGAAAUUUGCAGAGUCACGAGAGAAAAUAUAUUUCUCUAGUGACUCAUUAGGCAUGAAUUCAUAAAUAAGAGCCCGUCUCAUUCCUUCGGAACAAAAUCCCAGGAGGCGGACAAUAUUGGCAUGAUGGAUAAGUCCGAUGGUUGCAACUUCGUUG
rnacentral:rRNA from 1 species